AGCUUGCUUCUCUGAUGUUAGCGGCCUUGGGGGAGUAACACGUGAACCUACCUAUAAGACUGGGAGAACUCCGGGAAACCGGGGCUAUACCGGAUAAUAUUUUGAACCGCAUGGUUCAAUAGUGAAAGACGGUUUGCUGUCACUUAUAGAUGGACCCGCGCCGUAUUAGCUAGUUGGUAAGGUAACGGCUUACCAAGGCGACGAUACUACCCGACCUGAGAGGGUGAUCGGCCACACUGGAACUGAGACACGGUCCAGACUCCUACGGGAGGCAGCAGUAGGGAAUCUUCCGCAAUGGGCGAAAGCCUGACGGAGCAACGCCGCGUGAGUGAUGAAGGUCUUCGGAUCGUAAAACUCUGUUGUUAGGGAAGAACAAAUUUGUUAGUAACUGAACUCUUGACGGUACCUAACCAGAAAGCCACGGCUAACUACGUGCCACCAGCCGCGGUAAUACCUAGGUGGCGAGCGUUAUCCGGAAUUAUUGGGCGUAAAGCGCGCGUAGGCGGUUUCUUAAGUCUGAUGUGAAAGCCCCCGG
rnacentral:rRNA from 1 species